AGGAGAUGGAGGGCGACCGACGGCCUUAGGCUGAGGAAAGUCCCCUCUCCAUGAGCAAGGCAGCCGUAAGGAAUCCGAGAGGAUUGGCAAUGCAACAGAAACGACACAGCCCCACUAUAGGAAUGAUCGUCAAGGACGUGACGUCAGUGGAGGAUUUGAUGAAACGAGUACCCCUGCCGGAGCAAUUCCAAGUAACCGCUUAGACCUGCUCGGGAGCGGUAGGUAGGAUGCGAAGCUAAAUGUCGCCAACCUUUUAGGUUAACAGAAAGGGGCUUACUCCCAUCACCU
rfam:Marine Group III euryarchaeote CG-Epi1 CG-Epi1-C3, whole genome shotgun sequence.